AGAUUGAACGCUGACGGCAGGCCUAACACAUGCAAGUCGAGCGGCAGCACGGGUACUUGUACCUGGUGGCGAGCGGCGGACGGGUGAGUAAUGCCUAGGAAUCUGCCUGAUAGUGGGGGAUAACGCGCGGAAACGGACGCUAAUACCGCAUACGUCCUACGGGAGAAAGCAGGGGACCUUCGGGCCUUGCGCUAUCAGAUGAGCCUGGGUCGGAUUAGCUAGUUGGUGGGUAAUGGCUCACCAAGGCGACGAUCCGUAACUGGUCUGAGAGGAUGAUCAGUCAACACUGGAACUGAGACACGGUCCAGACUCCUAACGGGACGGCAGCGAAGGUGGGGAAACUAGUUGGAACAAGUGGGACGAAAGCCUAGACUCCAGACCCAUUCGGCCCGCGUGGUGUGGAAAGGAAGGUCC
rnacentral:rRNA from 1 species